ensembl:snoRNA
AAUAUUGAUGGUUGACCAGGGCUCCCUGAGUUCUACAGGCCUCUGUUAUGGGGGUGAUGUUAUGGCACCCUGGUGCUGAGAGAUU